rnacentral:rRNA from 1 species
GCUAAACGCGAAGAACCUUACCUACUCUUGACAUCCAGAGAACUUAGCAGAGAUGCUUUGGUGCCUUCGGGAACUCUGAGACAGGUGCUGCCUGGCUGUCGUCAGCUCGUGUUGUGAAAUGUUGGGUUAAGUCCCGCAACGAGCGCAACCCUUAUCCUUUGUUGCCAGCGGUUCGGCCGGGAACUCAAAGGAGACUGCCAGUGAUAAACUGGAGGAAGGUGGGGAUGACGUCAAGUCAUCAUGGCCCUUACGAGUAGGGCUACACACGUGCUACAAUGGCAUAUACAAAGAGAAGCGACCUCGCGAGAGCAAGCGGACCUCAUAAAGUAUGUCGUAGUCCGGAUUGGAGUCCGCAACUCGACUCCAUGAAGUCGGAAUCGCUAGUAAUCGUGGAUCAGAAUGCCACGGUGAAUACGUUCCCGGGUCUUGUACACACCG